rnacentral:misc_RNA from 1 species
CAGUUGGUUUGGUGUACCCGGAAGAUUUGUUUGUCUUCCUUCUUAAUAAAUGCAAGAUGAAAGAAGAACCCCUGGCUGUUGGUGCACUUUCUGUAUUAAAGCAUUUAUUACCCAGAUUGUCCGAGGCUUGGCAUAGUAAGAGGCCUUUACUAAUUGAAGUUGUGAAGCUGUUAUUGGAUGAGCUUAAUUUAGGGGUCUGUAAGGCCCUUGCAGAGCUAAUUGUGGUUAUGGCUUCCCACUGUUACUUGGUUGGUUCUUCUGGAGAGAUGUUCAUUGAAUAUCUUGUUCGCCAUUCUGCAAUGUUUGGUCUGCACAGAGAUGAUACUGAG